CCUACGGGUGGCAGCAGUGGGGAAUAUUGGGCAAUGGGCGCAAGCCUGACCCAGCAACGCCGCGUGAAGGAAGAAGGCUUUCGGGUUGUAAACUUCUUUUCUCAGGGACGAAGCAAGUGACGGUACCUGAGUAAUAAGCCACGGCUAACUACGUGCCAGCAGCCGCGGUAAUACGUAGGUGGGAAGCGUUAUCCGGAUUUACUGGGUGUAAAGGGCGUGUAGGCGGGAAAGCAAGUCAGAUGUGAAAACCAUGGGCUCAACCCGUGGCCUGCAUUUGAAACUGUUUUUCUUGAGUACUGGAGAGGCAGACGGAAUUCCUAGUGUAGCGGUGAAAUGCGUAGAUAUUAGGAGGAACACCAGUGGCGAAGGCAGUCUGCUGGACAGCAACUGACGCUGAGGCGCGAAAGCGUGGGGAGCAAACAGGAUUAGAUACCCCUGUAGUC
rnacentral:rRNA from 1 species